UGAUAUCUGCCUGUGACUAGUUUAGCAUAGAUUAUUUUGAAUUUUCCUUUCUCAUUUCACAUUCAUCUUUAAAGUUUGUGUUAAAUCGUCCAAGGUGCAUUCUCUAGUCAAAACGUUAAUAUCGCUUCUCCUGAUAAUGACAUGAAACACAUGACUCGCAAGCGAGGGACUGGAGUUUGCUGGGAUGUUCUCCACUCCUUUCUCUGUAUUUUCGUGGCAAUGGGUUGGAUUAUGCACCUGUCAAUUUCCUGCAUUGAAGGACUUUUUUGGG
rnacentral:lncRNA from 1 species